rnacentral:rRNA from 1 species
UACGGAAGGGGCAAGCGUUGUUCGGAAUCAUUGGGCGUAAAGGGCGCGUAGGUGGUUUUGUGUGUCUACCGUGAAAGCGCGCGGCUUAACCGCGUUCCGUCGGUAGAAACUGCAGAACUUGAGACUGGGAGGGGCUGGUGGAAUUCCCUGUGUAGCGGUGAAAUGCGUAGAGAUGGGGGAGAACACUCGUGGCGAAGGCGGCCAGCUAGACCAGUUCUGACACUGGGGCGCGACAGCGUGGGGAGCAAACAGG